GAUGAACGCUGGCGGCGUGCUUAACACAUGCAAGUCGAACGAUGACCCCCAGCUUGCUGGGGUGAUUAGUGGCGAACGGGUGAGUAACACGUGAGUAACCUGCCCCCGACUCUGGGAUAAGCCCGGGAAACUGGGUCUAAUACUGGAUAUGACCUUUGACCGCAUGGUCUUUGGUGGAAAGAUUUAUCGGUUGGGGAUGGACUCGCGGCCUAUCAGCUUGUUGGUGAGGUAAUGGCUCACCAAGGCGACGACGGGUAGCCGGCCUGAGAGGGUGACCGGCCACACUGGGACUGAGACACGGCCCAGACUCCUACGGGAGGCAGCAGUGGGGAAUAUUGCACAAUGGGCGAAAGCCUGAUGCAGCGACGCCGCGUGAGGGAUGACGGCCUUCGGGUUGU
rnacentral:rRNA from 1 species